GUACUCGAGUGGCGAACGGGUGAGUAACACGUGGGUGAUCUGCCCUGCACUUUGGGAUAAGCCUGGGAAACUGGGUCUAAUACCGAAUACACCCUGCUGGUCGCAUGGCCUGGUGGGGGAAAGCUUUUGCGGUGUGGGAUGGGCCCGCGGCCUAUCAGCUUGUUGGUGGGGUGAUGGCCUACCAAGGCGACGACGGGUAGCCGGCCUGAGAGGGUGACCGGCCACACUGGGACUGAGAUACGGCCCAGACUCCUACGGGAGGCAGCAGUGGGGAAUAUUGCACAAUGGGCGCAAGCCUGAUGCAGCGACGCCGCGUGAGGGAUGACGGCCUUCGGGUUGUAAACCUCUUUCAGCACAGACGAAGCGCAAGUGACGGUAUGUGCAGAAGAAGGACCGGCCAACUACGUGCCAGCAGCCGCGGUAAUACGUAGGGUCCGAGCGUUGUCCGGAAUUACUGGGCGUAAAGAGCUCGUAGGUGGUUUGUCGCGUUGUUCGUGAAAACUCACAGCUUAACUGUGGGCGUGCGGGCGAUACGGGCAGACUAGAGUACUGCAGGGGAGACUGGAAUUCCUGGUGUAGCGGUGGAAUGCGCAGAUAUCAGGAGGAACACCGGUGGCGAAGGCGGGUCUCUGGGCAGUAACUGACGCUGAGGAGCGAAAGCGUGGGGAGCGAACAGGAUUAGAUACCCUGGUAGUCCACGCCGUAAACGGUGGGUACUAGGUGUGGGUUUCCUUCCUUGGGAUCCGUGCCGUAGCUAACGCAUUAAGUACCCCGCCUGGGGAGUACGGCCGCAAGGCUAAAACUCAAAGGAAUUGACGGGGGCCCGCACAAGCGGCGGAGCAUGUGGAUUAAUUCGAUGCAACGCGAAGAACCUUACCUGGGUUUGACAUGCACAGGACGCCGGCAGAGAUGUCGGUUCCCUUGUGGCCUGUGUGCAGGUGGUGCAUGGCUGUCGUCAGCUCGUGUCGUGAGAUGUUGGGUUAAGUCCCGCAACGAGCGCAACCCUUGUCUCAUGUUGCCAGCACGUUAUGGUGGGGACUCGUGAGAGACUGCCGGGGUCAACUCGGAGGAAGGUGGGGAUGACGUCAAGUCAUCAUGCCCCUUAUGUCCAGGGCUUCACACAUGCUACAAUGGCCGGUACAAAGGGCUGCGAUGCCGUGAGGUGGAGCGAAUCCUUUCAAAGCCGGUCUCAGUUCGGAUCGGGGUCUGCAACUCGACCCCGUGAAGUCGGAGUCGCUAGUAAUCGCAGAUCAGCAACGCUGCGGUGAAUACGUUCCCGGGCCUUGUACACACCGCCCGUCACGUCAUGAAAGUCGGUAACACCCGAAGCCGGUGGCCUAACCC
rnacentral:rRNA from 1 species